rnacentral:ncRNA from 1 species
AAGAGCCCGGUGCGGAAAUCUGCACGCCGGGUUCCGUGGGGGUUGGGCUACCAAAUGUAGCCUUUCUACCCGGA